CUAGCAUAGUAAACAGGACUACAAAACAAUUAUGUAAAUACUGCAAACUAAGAGAAAAUGGCAAAAGUGUCCAAGGUGAAGGAAGAGAAAGUUAUCAUAAACACCUGAGACAAGGAUUUAAGGCUUGGCCCAUAUAAACCUUUCACCACAACCUGGCCCUCUUCCCACAAAUGCUGCUUGGAAAGGUGAGAACACUGAUGGUCAACUGUCAGUCCACACUGUCCUGUGACAUGAGCAUGGAAUUCUUCUUUAUUAUGUUUUCUUGGCAUUCUAAACCCAAAUAUCUAGAGCCCUUUCCAUUACCUGCCAGACCUGAGAAGUUGCUGCACCACAGAAGCAGAAGCAGAUGCUGCUCGGUCCAUAUAGACAUUGGUCAGAGCCAGAUGUGUUCACCCAGCUCUCUUGAAUCCUCAUGUUUCAUGGCAGCUCUUUUCUGAAAAGAAGCCCAGGAAAAACAAUACUCCAAAUCAGACUUUCCAGAUGCUUCUGGGUGUUCCUGGCUGUGUGUGUGAGUUUAUACGUAUGGGGACUCAGAGCGCCUUGAGCAAGCUCGACAUUAUUGCCACGUUCCAGCUGAAGAGUGAAGCCGUUGCUGAACACAGACGAUGUCAGGCACUGGAAGGCAUGUGAUCCAAGAUGGGCCAAAUAAAUUCAAUCUUCCAGAAGUUCAAACUGUGAGCCAUACCAACAGCAACUGACCAGAGUUGAUCAUCUCUACGGUGUUUUCCUGAAGAAAAUGGCCCAUUAGUUCCUGUUGCUUAGAUGCUUGAAAUUUUUUUUUUAUUUCUUAUUCUUCCAAUGGUCCAGUUGUUCACUCUUGAUUCUGUGAACUUCUGCAUACCCUUCCAAUAAGUUUCAGUUCUACUUGGGUUAACCAGAAUCUCUUUUCCUUGUUUGUCACUCGAAUAUGCUAAAUAAAGUAAAUCAUAACUCUAA